rnacentral:lncRNA from 1 species
GUGGUUAUAAGGGAUCUAUGGUGUGUCUGAAGGGGGGUACGGUGGUUAUAGGGGAUAUAUGGGGUAUCUGAAGGGGGGUGGGGUGGCUAUAGGGCAUCUAUGGGGUGUCUAAAAGGGACUGGGGUGGUUAUAGGGGAUUUGUAGGGUAUCUAAAGGGGGUUGGGGUGGUUAUAGGGUAUCUAUAGGGUGUCUGAAGGGGGGUGGGGUGGUUAUAGGGGAUCUAUAGGGUGUCUGAAGGGGAUUGGGGUGGUUAUAGGGGAUCUAUGGGGUGUCUGAAGGGGAUUGGGGUGGUUAUAGGGGAUCUGUAGAGUAUUUAAAGGGGAUUGGGGUGGUUAUAUGGCAUCUAUAGGGUAUCUGAAGGGGGGUGGGGUGGUUAUAGGGGAUCUAUGGGGUGUUUAAAAGGGUUUGGGGCAGUUAUAGGGGAUCUGUAGGGUAUCAAAAGGGGUGUGGGGUGGUUAUAGGGGAUCUAUAGGGGAUAUGGGGUGGAUAUGGGGUAUCUAUAGAAAAUCUAUGGGGGGGUGGGGAGGUGCCUAUAGGGGCAAGAGAUACCCUAUAGGAUCUGGGGGUACCUGUAGGAUCUGGGCAAUGCCUAUGGGGUUGGAUGGUGCCUAUAGGGGCAGGGGGAACCCUAUAGGAUCAAGGGUGCCCUAUAGGAUCUGUGGGAUGCUUAUGGGGUUGGGCGGUGCCUAUAGGAUCUGGGGGUGCCUAUAGGAUCUGGGUGGUGCCUAUAGGGGCAGGGGGUGCCCUAUAGGAUCUGGGGGAGCCCUACGGGAUCUGUGGGAUGCUUAUGGGGUUGGGCGGUGCCUAUAGGGACAGGGGGAGCCCUAUAGGAUCUGGGGGUACCUGUAGGAUCUGAGCAAUGCCUAUGGGGUUGGAUGGUGCCUAUAGGGGCAAGGGGAGCCCUAUGGGAUCUGGGGGAGCCCUAAAGGAUCUGUGCGAUGCUUAUGGGGUUGGGCGGUGCCUAUAGGAUCUGGGGGUGCCUAUAGGAUUUGGGCAAUGUUUAUGGGGUUGGGCCGUGCCUAUAGGGGCAGGGGGAGCCCCAUAGGAUCUAGGGGUGCCCUAUAGGAUCUGUGGGAUGCUUAUGGGGUUGGGCGGUGCCUAUAGGAUCUCGGGUACCUAUAGGAUCUGGGCAGUGCCUAUAGCGGCACAGGGAGCCCUAUAGGAUCAGGGGGUACCUAUAGGAUCUGGGCAAUCCCUAUGGGGUUGGUUGGUAUCUAUAGGAUCUGGGGGUACCUAUAGGAUCUGUGUGGUGCCUAUAGG